UUCGUGAAUAUUCAAGCAUGUUAUCUCUGCAUUGGCUGUCAUCCAGCGUUCUCUGCUCUGUUUUGCAGGUCAGCUCGUGCUGGAAGUUGGUGGUGUGGCUGUGUGAAUGAAGGCCAGUUCAGGAGCAGCUGCUGAUGGAAGGAAUGAAGUCCACGUUAAAGAGCUGAAGCAUCUCCUGGUCAGCUCGUGCUGGAAGUUGGUGGUGUGGCUGUGUGAAUGAAGGCCAGUUCAGGAGCAGCUGCUGAUGGAAGGAAUGAAGUCCACGUUAAAGAGCUGAAGCAUCUCCUGGUCAGCUCGUGCUGGAAGUUGGUGGUGUGGCUGUGUGAAUGAAGGCCAGUUCAGGAGCAGCUGCUGAUGGAAGGAAUGAAGUCCACGUUAAAGAGCUGAAGCAUCUCCUGAAGUGCUGGCUGCUUCUGGGGGAAUCGUGCAGGAGGCUGUCAGAAAGCCAGCCGUGAUUUUCCUCAUAUGAAGGGAUGCAAUGGGAAUGGACUGUCAUUGCCACCAAGCAGAACUGAGCUGCUUAUGUCGUGAUAGAUAUCAUCUUGGUUAUCGAUUAUGAGCAGUUGCAGUGCGAUAGGGCCCUGAAGUAACUGGGAGUUCAGGGAAGAGCCACGAGAAGUGAAAUGGCAGUUUGUGUUCUGGCUGUCCAAAUGGUGGAGCUUUACUGGAGUGAAA